CUCUAAUACAUUGGAUUUUUGUUUACUUUACUUUUAAUCAAGAUAAAAUAAUCACAUAUUUCUUUCUUUCUAUGUUGUUAUUUUAAAGACUAUAUUCAACGUUAUAGUUAACUUAAUUCGUGUUAAUGACCAGCGCAAUGCGGAUUAUACAAAAGGCAUAGAUCUUAAUUUUUGUUACAUAUUUUUUGUAAAUGAAGGCCUAAAAAUGUAAUUGUUAGUAAAAAAAAAAAAGUAAGAGCAAAUUAAUUAAAGUCCAAAUUAAUAACAACUGACAAAAUGUAAUUGGCGAUUUUGCGUUAAUGUCUUAAGAUGGAACAGGUGGUUUGAUGACGUAGCGCCAGCCCUAUAAAGGGUCGUUCGACCGCACAUCAGUCAUUCCCUUCCUGAAGAUAAGCGACACUGCACGGCCAACGAAGCACAGCAGUUUACAGGAAUACCGCGAAUAUGAAUAAAUUGGCCACUUUUCUCGUUGGAUUCCUAUUUGCUCUGAAUUUUGCAUCAAUGCUGGUAGGUGCAGAAGAAAAACCGAAAGCGACUGAAUCAACAGCGAAACCGACUGAACUACUAACAAGCGCUACCUACUCCACCAAUUCAACCAAACCGGGCAACGGCACUAGUGUCGCGGGAGAGGGCGUGCGGUCGAGCGCUUCUUUGCUGCUCCCAACCGUGAUGACGGCCUUUCUCUUUUACGGGCGUUGCUAAUUCUAUCAUGAAACCGAUUGUCCAGCACUAAACGCACUGCAAGGCCUAACACCAGAGGCAGCAUGGGCAACAUCACUGGAGCAGGUGCGUCCAUGAACGAACCAACCUCCCCCGGGGAAAGUUAUUUGUUUUAAGGUCUGCGAACCUUUUUGUUUUUGGGUUUUAAACCAACUAAGUAGCCUCGACAACAGAGUUGGACUUGGAUGGAUCAGCUGUUUUGUUUGAUAUUGUUGCGUGUCUGUACGAUCGUCAUGGACUAGAGUAGGCUAAAUGUAAAGUCGCCCGUGCCUGUGAUAUCAACGAUGUUGUUGGAGGCGCAUUGUGGAAAUUAUUACUCCUUAAUCAUAUUUGUAUACACUGAUAAAUGCCUCUAUAUUUGUAUCGCAAAUGUAUCAGAUCUUGGAUCAUAAUUAAUAUGCCGUGCUUUUAGAACUUUGUUAAUAAAGCAAUUGUCUGUACAAUAAAAAGAUUGUCUCUUACA